CAGGAGAAUCGCUUGAACCUGGGAGGCAGAGGUUGUGGUGAGCCAAGGUCACGCCAUUGUACUCCAGCCUGGGCAACAAGAGUGAAACUCCGUUUAAAAAAAAGAAAGAAAGAAAGAAAGAAAUGUCUGAGCCAGGCGCAGCGGUGCGCACCUGUAGUCCCAGCUACUCGGGAAGCUGAGGAGGGAGGAUCACUUCAGCCUGGAGUUCAAGGCCAUCCUGGGCAAUGUAAAAAUUUUUUUUUAUAAAAGGGUCCGGUCUUAAAAAUAUUUGUGAAGAAAACUAGGUCUUUGAUUGCUUUCUGUCAAUCACCUACUAUUAUAAACAAUUCAUGUAUAUUAGCUUUUAUGUAGAUGUGAUUAUCCUCAUUUUACACAGGAGUCACCUGAGCCUCAAAGAGAGGAAGCAAAUGGCUCUAGACCACACAGUGCUAAGAAUCCGUGAAUCACCCCAGCUACUUGGGGAACUGAGGCAGGAGGAUUGCUUGAGCCCAGGAGGUUGAGUCUGCAGCGAGCCGAGAUCAUGCCACUGCACUCCAGCCUGGGUGACAAAGUGAGAGAGAACCUGUCUCAAGAAAAAAAAAAAAAAAGCAGUGAAUUGGGAUUUGAACCCAGGCUGCCUGCUUCUGGAGCCUGUAUUCUUUCUACGGCAGAGCGUCGCCCCUGUGCGUCACGAUGAUAUGCAUCCAGUACCAUGGAACCAUUGCUAACCCAGCUUACAGAGUCCUGUCUGGGAGCAGACUACCAGCCUUGGUUUGUGGCUGCAUGGGGACUCCCCAUAGCUGGCAAUUUGUUUAUACAGAGUGGCUGUCACUUAAUUCGGUAAAGCCUACAUUUCCAUGUCUCUCAAGUUUGGCAGAACCACAAACCUAGGGGGUGGCUCGCUGCCCCACCCUCAGCCCUCUCCACAUCUGAAAUGCCAUAGUGGGUGCUCAGACGGUGAGACCGAGGGGGGCCCCCCAGCUUUCGGAGAUACCCCCAUGUGCUUUCACAGUCAACCAAUGCUUUCUCUCCAGAGGCUUCACUUCUGCACUAAUGCUGCAGGUGUAGCUCUCACACCUGAAACGACACACAGAGGUUAUCACUUUCCUUUCCCCAAAGAGACUUCUAGCACAUGGAAUCAUGGAAAGUGAGGGUCAAAAUGGACAUGAAGUUCUUUGAGCCCAAUCGUCUUCCAGUGAUUCCCUCACUACUCCAUCUUUCUGCCAAGCAGCCAUCCUGUUCGAGCCUGAACACUCCAGUUUCCCGGGAACACACCGGCUCCCGCCAGAUGGUGGCAGCAGGACAAUGGAAACAACCCGGUGAGUACAAAAGAGAUGCUCUUGAACACACACCCAACCCUCUUCCUUCAUUCACACCCCCCGGCCUGAUAUCGGCAGCACAUCGCUAUGCUCCUCUUGGAGAAAACUCCUCUCGCGUUGAGAGUGGAAACACCAGCUUGCCUUCGUGUGACAUGGAGCGGGUCAUGCCACUCCUCUCCUCAAAAACUUUCAGUGAGGUCCCUUGUAUCUUACAGAACAAAGUCCAAACUCUAUCCUGUCAUUGAAGAGUCCUCUCCCAGGUGGCCGUGCCACAUCUCCAGCUUGUCUCUCAGGAGACCUUCUCCAGGGCCCUGCCUGUCCACACAUAGGACUCACCACUCCCUGGGCGAGCCUGGGCCCUUCCCCACCCAUCCUGUGCUUUGAUUCCCCAGGGGCGGUGCCCUUGCCGGACUCUUCAUGGACUAAAUCCCACUCGUCCUGCAAAACCUGGCAAAAUUCAAGGCCACUGGAGGAGCUCUUCCUUUGAGACUCUCCAGCAGGACUUGCCGCCUCUGCGCGGGGUGUGUAGCAAGCCCUGCUUGCCAUUGCCACUCCGUUGCUGCAGAACGAGUGGGAUUUGGUCUCUUUCGUGACUUCCCCAACACACACACCCCACCCCCACCACAUAGCACAAGGCUGAGAACACUGGGAACGCUCAAUAAAGAAAUAUUUUUGGCCUGAA